rnacentral:lncRNA from 1 species
UGGGGCAGGUGCCUUGGUUUCUUUUUCCAGUCUUUUUCCACCGCUUUUUCCUACUGAGUUUUGGCCAUGAACUCGGGACAGGUAUGGUUAAUAAACAGGUUAGGGGGAAGAGAAGGGGCAGAGAAGGAAUUCAGGAGCGUCAAGGAGGUGUGUCUGCUCCCUGUGCCCAGGGGCCCAGCCUGGAGGCCUGGACAGAUGGCUUUGCCAACCCCAGGUGGGUCUGGCCUGAGCACCCCAAGCCACUGCCCACCGACCUGCCCGGCCUGGGCCCCAGUGAUCACCCGUCUGCUUCGUAUCGAGGGGACCAACCCUUCCGGGGAGGUACCCCUCUCACCCCCUAGGGAGAUAAGAGCCUGGGCUCUAGAAGUCACAGUUGGGGGUGGGGUUGACCCCGGCCCGCCUUGUCCUCUCUGGCAGCUGAGGCCCCAGAGAGGCUGUCAAGCACACAAGCCCCUCUUCCUUUGGAAUCGGCUGUGUUUUCUGGAAACACUAGGCCCCUGCAGGACACCUCCCCAGGAGCACCAGGGUGCCUGGGGACAUAUUCGGGCAGGCCCUGCACGCAUCACACCCUGUGUCCAGGCAGGGUGA